rnacentral:rRNA from 1 species
UACGGAGGGGGCUAGCGUUAUUCGGAAUUAUUGGGCGUAAAGGGCGUGUAGGCGGCUUCGUAAGUCUUGUGUGAAAGCCCUCGGCUCAACCGAGGAAUUGCACGAGAAACUGCGUGGCUCGAGUCCGGGAGAGGAUAGUGGAAUUCCCAGUGUAGCGGUGAAAUGCGUAGAUAUCAAGAGGAACACCAGUGGCGAAGGCGAGUCCCUGGACAACACCUGACACUGAGGCACGAAAGCUAGGGGAGCAAACAGG